ACCAUAUGCUGCACUGGGUGGUUUCAGUCGGAAGUCCACAAAGGAUCAGUUAGACAGCAAUUUUUCCUUAACCAAGAAUGGCCACGGUGAGGACGCCUAUCACCCUUUCUUUGGUAAGUUCCCUUACCAAGGGAGAACUACACUCUGUCAUGCAAACCUGU